rnacentral:rRNA from 1 species
UGGGGAAUCUUGGACAAUGGGGGCAACCCUGAUCCAGCCAUGCCGCGUGAGUGAUGAAGGCCUUAGGGUUGUAAAGCUCUUUCACCGGUGAAGAUAAUGACGGUAGCAGGUAAAGAAACCCCGGCUAACUCCGUGCCAGCAGCCGCGGUAAUACGGAGGGGGUUAGCGUUGUUCGGAAUUACUGGGCGUAAAGCGCACGUAGGCGGACCAGAAAGUUGGGGGUGAAAUCCCGGGGGCUCAACCCCGGAACUGCCUCCAAAACUAUUGGUCUAGAGUUCGAGAGAGGUGAGUGGAAUUCCAAGUGUAGAGGUGAAAUUCGUAGAUAUUUGGAGGAACACCAGUGGCGAAGGCGGCUCACUGGCUCGAUACUGACGCUGAGGUGCGAAAGUGUGGGGAGCAAACAGGAUUAGAUACCCUGGGUAGUCCACACCGUAAAACGAUGAAUGCCAGUCGUCGGGUAGCAUGCUAUUCGGUGACACACCUAACGGAUUAAGCAUUCC